rnacentral:rRNA from 1 species
UGCAGUCGAGCGCACCCCUUCGGGGGCGAGCGGCGGACGGGUUAGUAACGCGUGGGAACAUACCCUUUACUACGGAAUAGCCUCGGGAAACUGAGAGUAAUACCGUAUGUGCCCUUCGGGGGAAAGAUUUAUCGGUAAAGGAUUGGCCCGCGUUAGAUUAGAUAGUUGGUGGGGUAAUGGCCUACCAAGUCUACGAUCUAUAGCUGGUUUUAGAGGAUGAUCAGCAACACUGGGACUGAGACACGGCCCAGACUCCUACGGGAGGCAGCAGUGGGGAAUCUUAGACAAUGGGCGCAAGCCUGAUCUAGCCAUGCCGCGUGUGUGAUGAAGGCCUUAGGGUCGUAAAGCACUUUCGCCAGAGAUGAUAAUGACAGUAUCUGGUAAAGAAACCCCGGCUAACUCCGUGCCAGCAGCCGCGGUAAUACGGAGGGGGUUAGCGUUGUUCGGAAUUACUGGGCGUAAAGCGUACGUAGGCGGAUCAGAAAGUAUGGGGUGAAAUCCCAGGGCUCAACCCUGGAACUGCCUCAUAAACUCCUGGUCUUGAGUUCGAGAGAGGUGAGUGGAAUUCCAAGUGUAGAGGUGAAAUUCGUAGAUAUUUGGAGGAACACCAGUGGCGAAGGCGGCUCACUGGCUCGAUACUGACGCUGAGGUACGAAAGUGUGGGGAGCAAACAGGAUUAGAUACCCUGGUAGUCCACACCGUAAACGAUGAAUGCCAGUCGUCGGGCAGUAUACUGUUCGGUGACACACCUAACGGAUUAAGCAUUCCGCCUGGGGAGUACGGUCGCAAGAUUAAAACUCAAAGGAAUUGAC